CGGAAUGUGGCGCAGCCUGGUAGCGCGUCUGUUUUGGGAACAGAAAGUCGUGUGUUCGAAUCCCACCAUUCCGA
rfam:Nannochloropsis gaditana mitochondrion, complete genome.